UACGUAGGUGGCAAGCGUUGUCCGGAAUUAUUGGGCGUAAAGGGCUCGCAGGCGGUUUCUUAAGUCUGAUGUGAAAGCCCCCGGCUCAACCGGGGAGGGUCAUUGGAAACUGGGGAAACUUGAGUGCAGAAGAGGAGAGUGGAAUUCCACGUGUAGCGGUGAAAUGCGUAGAGAUGUGGAGGAACACCAGUGGCGAAGGCGACUCUCUGGUCUGUAACUGACGCUGAGGAGCGAAAGCGUGGGGAGCGAACAGG
rnacentral:rRNA from 1 species